UAAGCGGAGGAAAAGAAACUAACAAGGAUUCCCCUAGUAACUGCGAGUGAAGCGGGAAAAGCUCAAAUUUAAAAUCUGGCGGUCUUUGGCCGUNCGAGUUGUAAUUUAGAGAAGCGUCUUCCGCGCUGGACCGUGCACAAGUCUCCUGGAAUGGAGCGUCAUAGAGGGUGAGAAUCCCGUCUUUGGCACGGAUGCCUGGUGCUUCUGUGAUGCGCUCUCGAAGAGUCGAGUUGUUUGGGAAUGCAGCUUAAAAUGGGUGGUGAACUCCAUCUAAAGCUAAAUAUUGGCGAGAGACCGACAGCGAACAAGUACCGUGAGGGAAAGAUGAAAAGCACUUUGGAAAGAGAGUGAAACAGUACGUGAAAUUGUUGAAAGGGAAACGCUUGAAGUCAGUCGCGUCGACCGAGACUCAGCCUUGCCUUGGCUUGGUGUACUUCUCGGCCCGACGGGUCAGCAUCAAUUUUGCCCCUCGGAUAAUGGCAGGGGAGAGGUGGCACCUUUACGGGUGUGUUAUAGUCUCCUGUCGAAUGCGAGGGGUGGGAUUGAGGAACUCAGCGCGCACCUCAGUGUCGGGGCUUCGGCCCACGUCACGCGCUUAGGAUGCUGGCGUAAUGGCUUUAAACGACC
rnacentral:rRNA from 1 species